AACCAUACGCUCUAUAAUGCAGUCGACGCGUCUCCGUUGAUGAUUUUAGGUGCUUGCACUUGAAAGAUUUAACAUUGAGACGAGUGGCGAACUGGUGAGUAACACGUGGGUAACCUGCCCUUGAAGUAGGGGAUAACACUUGGAAACAGGUGCUAAUACCGUAUAACAACCAAAACCACCUGGUUUUGGUUUAAAAGACGGCUUCGGCUGUCACUUUAGGAUGGACCCGCGGCGUAUUAGCUUGUUGGUAAGGUAACGGCCUACCAAGGCGAUGAUACGUAGCCGACCUGAGAGGGUAAUCGGCCACAUUGGGACUGAGACACGGCCCAAACUCCUACGGGAGGCAGCAGUAGGGAAUCUUCCACAAUGGACGAAAGUCUGAUGGAGCAACGCCGCGUGAGUGAUGAAGGGUUUCGGCUCGUAAAACUCUGUUGUUGGAGAAGAACAGGUGUCAGAGUAACUGUUGACAUCUUGACGGUAUCCAACCAGAAAGCCACGGCUAACUACGUGCCAGCAGCCGCGGUAAUACGUAGGUGGCAAGCGUUGUCCGGAUUUAUUGGGCGUAAAGCGAGCGCAGGCGGUUUUUUAGGUCUGAUGUGAAAGCCUUCGGCUUAACCGGAGAAGUGCAUCGGAAACCGGGAGACUUGAGUGCAGAAGAGGACAGUGGAACUCCAUGUGUAGCGGUGAAAUGCGUAGAUAUAUGGAAGAACACCAGUGGCGAAGGCGGCUGUCUGGUCUGUAACUGACGCUGAGGCUCGAAAGCAUGGGUAGCGAACAGGAUUAGAUACCCUGGUAGUCCAUGCCGUAAACGAUGAGUGCUAAGUGUUGGAGGGUUUCCGCCCUUCAGUGCUGCAGCUAACGCAUUAAGCACUCCGCCUGGGGAGUACGACCGCAAGGUUGAAACUCAAAGGAAUUGACGGGGGCCCGCACAAGCGGUGGAGCAUGUGGUUUAAUUCGAUGCUACGCGAAGAACCUUACCAGGUCUUGA
rnacentral:rRNA from 1 species